GGCCAUUGGUAGAAUUUGAAAGGAAAUCCAGCUCUGUGAUUGGUCCGCCAUCCUGUCUAUCUUGAUUUGGAACGUUUUGCCAGACUUCAGUGAGAGAAAUCUUUCUGGCUUCUGUAGGAGAAUAGCCAGGGAUCCUAUCAAAGAAACAUUAUGGUCCUUUCAGAUUCAGAAGGUUACCAUCUUCUUCAGCUCUUCACAGUUAGAAUAAUCAUCUUCAUAUCCACAACUAUUGGCUGAAAUAAAGAACAAAAACAUCCCUUAGUUCAUUAUUAUUUUCCUCUGUUAAUUGUAACAAAAUAAAACUUAUAUGAAUUGGAACAAGGGAAUUGAACAAAUUAAUGGAUAUCUUUUAGACUGUAGCUUUGUCUAAUUGAUUGACUUCUUCACUCACAAAAGCUUAAGAAAAUUAAAUGGAGUGGUUUUUUUGUAAAACCGGACUAUCUAGUUGUUGUAAAGGUGGCUUAUUGAUUAGGAGCCUUUGAUAUUCUUGUGGAGAACCUGCUUUUUGUGUUCACUGUCCACAUGGAAGCUUAUGGCCACCUGCGACUUCAGUUCCAAUGCUUGUUUCUGUUCUCCAGGGUUAAAAAGCACAGUGGUACACAUAAAUACAUGCACAUAAAUGCAACCAAAUAUUCAUAAUAUGAAAUAAAAAUAAGUAUUAAAAAAGAACUUCACUACAAUGGUAGUUAUUAUGCAAGUGCUUUUAAUCUUUAAUAUGGCUAAUAUUUAAACUUUGUAUUCUCAGCAAAACAAGUUUCAUUAAAAUGUUCUAUA